GCAUUCUUCGUUGCGUACUGUGUUUGUGUUUUUGCAACUAGUUUCUAAUAAUUUUGAAUCUUGAUCCCCGCUUAGCUCUGCAAACUGGUACCUACCACUGGAUUAAGUUGUUUUUAACUCUGGUGACUGUACUCUGAUUUGCAUUGUGUUUCGGAUUCGAUUUGUAAAGUGUUAUGAGGGAACCGGAGGACAGUUUGUUGUUGUCAUGGUGGGACAAUAAUCCGGUACUUUGGUUGGCCAAGACACCAAAACAAUAUUCCUGCUCCAGCAAUAUAUUAAUAACAAUUGAAGGUUAUUAAAAUACAUUAUUUUAAUGAACAAAACGUAAAUGUUUCUUAAAAGUCGCAAUUGCAAAAUAAUAUACCUGUCUGCUUGUUUUUGUUUUAUCUAAUAAAUAAAUAAUUAUUUUUAA